GUUUCAUGAUCGUGGGAGCUGCGUAAGCAGCGGUUGUCCGUCUGUUGCGUCUGAAUCUGAUGCAAGGCCUGAGGUCAGCAGGGCUAGCACUUGUUAAGGAAAGAUGGACACGGUUUGAGAGAAAGUAAAGACAAAAUAGAACCCAUGAGAAUAAACUGAAACCUACAUCUGUCUUUAGAACACACAUUGGUCUCUAGUCACCUCCAGGGCUUCAACUUGGAUGAUGCAAGUGACCUGCAGAAAAGCGUGCGCAAUCCGUCAUGGAACCAAAUAGGAACUGAGCUCAGGACUUUACGAAACUGAAGGAAGACGUCCGCAGGAGCUACAGGAGCUGCGGGUCCAGCAGCUGACCCUCGCCAGCAAUGUGGGCCAGCAUAUCAGCAACUGCAUAUAUAAGCUGCAAAAUUAUCCCCCCCACGUUGACCUGUGUAAGAGCAUAUGCUUACUGCGUGAGUUCCACAAGGUGUUUUGUAACUCAGAAAAUCUCAGUCAGGAACUACUAAUCAAAUGCCAGGUUUUGUUGCUGCUGUUACACAUAUUUAAAUACUCGCAACUCCCUUGCAUCUUUAAACAAUCAGUCCUCUUUCUACCCCUAACCUCCCCUCUGGUUACUAGCUUAUCUUGCUUCUCUCCUUACAGCCAAAUUUCUAGAAGUCUUUUUCUGACACCAUUCCCUUUCUCCCAUUCUUUCUCAAUCCACUGCAGUUUAUAUCCAACUCCUCAACAGAUCACCAGAACUUCACUCACAAAAGUCACCAGAGAGUUCCACGUGGACAAAGAUAAUGGACAUCUUCCUGUAUAAUCUUACAUCAACUUUCAGUGGCCUUUCACUACUGCCAACCCACAUGCUCCUUUAUCAUCAGGGGCCUUUGAUAGGCUGACCAUGUCCUUCUGGAAACUUGCCUGCUUGGCCUUUGUCGAACCACAUGUCUGACCAUCACUUCUCAGGCUGCACAGCUGACUCAUCUGCCUGGCUUUCCACGCUUAAGUCCAGCAUUUUUGAAGCAUUUGUGCUACAUGUGGUGCAAUUACCAAAUGGUUGAAAGGAUUCAUUGAGUUGACUCAUCACCUUUCCAGUGGUUGCAGUAUGAUGUUGCUGAGAAAUCCUUGCUUGUGACUGCAUACAUCCUCACACCGAGUCAGAUGGGAAGAACCAACAAUUUAUGCUGUGCAGAAAAGACCUCUAGAGAAAAGUGAUCAACAGGAAAUAACACAAUAAUUUGCCUUUGAAUUCUCAAAGUAAAAUCUAUUUAUCUUCUCCAUGUGGAACGGCCUACUCUCAGCAUCUUUGCAUUCAGCUGUGUUGAGUUGGGGAGGAGAAAACUAGCAGGAAAAUUUGUGAGCAUAUCCUUUUUCAUUAAAAUGACACAUCUUAGGAAAAUGUUCCCAAGUUCUGUGCAAUUAAUUGGACUUCCUAGGAUUUUGAGUAGGAAAUUUUGACUCCUAUAUAUUAACUUUAAGAAGUUAUGUUUUCUGCAAU
rnacentral:lncRNA from 1 species